AAAAAAAAAAGGACAUUGUGAAGACCUUUCCCUUUCAAUACUUGGUAUCUUUGUCUGUAUCAGUGGUUCGAGGAGAGUUCCACAUGCAGAAGAGGGACCCCAAAAGGCAAAUGAACAUGGACAAAAGCAUCAACAGUUGAUUUAAGUGUACAAGCAUAUGGUUUAUAUAUUCAGAACUGUGACAUUAAUUCUUUCCUGGGAGAAAAGGGAUUCAAAACGUUUUUUGAUGCAUAGUUGAGGUACCCAACUAUCAAAGGCAGAGACCCCCAUGGGGCUCAGAAGAGCUGCAGUCCCAAGGUUUUCUGGAUAUAAAUUUGCAUGGUAUAGACAUAAUAGCUUUUGAGCUUUUUAUAUGCAUUUGGCACCAAGACUGGGAUCCACAACUUUGUAGACACUGCAAUGACGUUAAACAUAAUAGCUAUACUAUAAAUAGUGUUUGUAACUACACAUGCACACACACACACAAAUACAUACAUAUAUUCUGUAAAAAGGAAAACUUUUUAAGAUCCUUGGGUAUGUGUUUGCUUUACUCCACUUUAGAAGAAAAUUACUUUUCUUCUAAGAAAAUUAUUUUAUAGCUUCUCCAUUUUUAAAAGUUGUGAGCACUGUUGAGAAGCAGAACUCUGCUGCCAGAAGAGAGUUGUGUUUGGUUCUCUCUCCUGUUACAAUGCCCUCUCAUUUCUCCACAGUAGUUACUGGAGCCAGUGAGUACGGUGUGUUGAUGAAUUCUGAACCUGGACCCCUGACAUUAAUGUGAGGUGGCUGUUCCCACAUCCAGACCUCUUGAGUAAGGAGAGAAAAGUUGGAUUUGGAAUAUGAUAAUCUCUUUCUCAACAACUGAACGUAAUAAAAAGUUGAUUUUCUACGUAGUCCUGUCUUUCCAAAAUGCUUCCUGGGGGCUCAAAGUGCAAGACUCUUGUUGUAAGGGUUUGUUAUUACCCAUAAACAAAACUGAACAAUUGGUGAAAUGUUCUGUUCCUCGUGGCAAUGACCCCGGCGCUUAUCUCAUUGUGAGCCAUUGGUCAGGGCAACAGUGAAUCGUGGGGCAGAGAGCCGCCCAGGUGGAUUAAAAUUUCCCAGGACACAACUAGUGUGCCUUGGAUUGAUUAUUACCUCUUCUACUGCAUUGAAAGGUGCCAUGUUUUCCUGAAAUACUCAAUUCCCAACACCUGGGUGAACAGCGACCUCCCAGAGAGGGACUCACGGUACCAAGCCUCUUCCCAGGGGGAGCCCCAGAAACAAUCUUGUCCUUCUUGUCUCAUAUUUCUACUUUACAAGGCAGUGAGUAUGUUCAAGGUAAGUACAGGAUUAUUCGAGUAGGAAUAGGCGAUGGCUGUCAUGAUCAGUCCCCGCGUUGAUUUCAUUUCAUUGUAAAGAUAAAUUAAAACCCAAUUUUGCUUAAGCACAUUGAUGUAAUUUUUUGGUAUUAUUUGACAUGAAAAAAAUACAGCAAAAUUGAGUGAUCGAUUCAAUAUGAAACUUGUUGAUGAAUGAAUUCAAAUUUAUUAAAAAAGGACUAACUGACUUAAAUGUGAAGGCUGAUUAUUUUUUUCCUCCUUGUCUAUAUGCGGUAGAACUGGUGUGCUUCUUUUAAUUCCAGGUAACUUUCAUCACACAUGUCCAUUUAGAUUAUACUGAAAGUAAAAAGAAAUAAGCUCAACACUGACUGCGUGUGAGACCAACAGAACCAUGACUUAAAAAAAAAAAAUCAUGAUUUAUUCUGAAGAUCAAAGAAAAAGUAGGUAGG
rnacentral:lncRNA from 1 species